CUGCUGCCUUCCGUAGGAGUCUGGUCCGUGUCUCAGUACCAGUGUGGGGGACCUUCCUCUCAGAACCCCUACGCAUCGUCGCCUUGGUGGGCCGUUACCCCGCCAACUAGCUAAUGCGCCGCAUGCCCAUCCGUCUCCGAUAUUCUUUCAAAACCAGACGAUGCCGUCCAGCUUCAUACGGGGUAUUAGACGCCGUUUCCGACGAUUAUCCCCCUGAGACGGGCAGGUUGCAUACGUGUUACUCACCCGUGCGCCGGUUGCCGG
rnacentral:rRNA from 1 species